GUUCAAGACCAUAUAGAGCCCCGUAGAUGAGUGCAUGACACAGCAUUAAGUUAGGAAGAAAACCUAUUUAACCCUCCCAAAGAUGUGGGCAAUCUUGUUUGCUUUUCUGGGAUUAUCUUACGCUAUAUAUGGAGUGUCUUGCUUGACAUGUUCAUUUGAUGACGGAUUGUGUGGAUGGAAGCACCCAGAAAAUGCUACGCAAACAUGGAUAUUAGCCGACGGAAUAAGUCGUCAUAUCCAGUCUCCGCUGCUAAGUUAUCCUAUAAAGGCGUUAAAUACUAGUCUCGUAUACCCCAACUUUACCGGCUCAGGAUUUCUAACGUUCUCUUUGAGUCAGUAUGG